GGCUUAUCGCUGGGAAGGUCUAGUGGUUGAUAAAUCUGAAAUCUGAAACUAGAGGAUUCGAAAAUGGAACAGGGCAAAAGAAUUUCUUGAAAAACUUGUAACAAUCGAAGAAUUCGAUCGCGUAUCACGGCUCAAUUUCGCUUCUCAGAGACGUCACACUGAUUCAAGCUUUUACAAGUAUUUCGUCCUCAGAUGGAUCGAAGUCGACCGAGGCUUACCGGGUUCCGCCACUUUCUUUUUCGAAGUGCCCCAUCACCUCACUGUAAGAGAAAUAAGGAUGGAAACUUAGUUCUGGGCGCUAUUGCCUCUUUGGUCGAUGAAUUAGGAGCUGCAGUGAUCCAUGUUGAGGGACGACCUAUGGAUUUCAAUAGACAUGUCAACAAAUUACCUUUCUAAAAGAUGAACUAGAGAUGACAUCAAGAGUCUUGUGUCAGAAUGGUAAUUAUUCUGGAACAAAUGUUCUUACUCUUACAAGGGACAAAGCAACUGGGGAGGUUGUUGCUGAAGGGAGAUUCAUUGUUUACUGCACCUGCAAGCAAAAUGUAAUAAUGUAUAAAAAUCGUAAAAUCAUAGAAUUAAUUAGAAGGCACUUCUUCUUUUUCUAGUCCUCGUUAAUUGCUUUCUUGUCCUAAUUAUAAUUUUAUGCUUGUUGGAGGAUUAAUAGAAUCAUUAUUGCAAUGAGUCUUUCUGUAAUGUAAAUUUAUUAUAUGAUUAAUAUAGCUUGUUUGGUUAUCGUUUCUAA